rnacentral:misc_RNA from 1 species
AGGAAAACUACAAGAAAAAAAGAAACUUCUCUCUCCCUCUCUCAGAGAGAUUUGGCGUCAGCAAAUGGAGUAGAAAAGUUGACGCCAGAUUUUCUUCAGAAAAUGAGAGAUAAUAAAAUAAAAGAGACCGAGCGUCAAUGCCCUUUCUUCAGCACUUUUUGUCCAAGCUUCUUAAUCCUUUGCGUCAUUUUAUAAAUCUGGUGCAAUAUCUCAAAUUUUGCUCUUUCCCAUCUAAGCUGAUCUAUUAGUUGUAAAGAAUGACUUAAUCGUUGAUUUUGAGAAAUGAUUAGUGGAUUUAAACUUCUUGUUAGGAGUGAUCCUUGAUAUUUUAUUGAUCGAUUCAAGUCAAGUUCUUAAAGAAUUCUAAUUUGUAGCUGACUUUGUCUUGAUGAUAUUGUUAUAAUGAUGUUUUGAUUUAUGGGUUUUAUUUUUUAAGGCUUGUUUAUGCAUCUGAUCUGCGAUUUGCUUUAAAUGGAUUAUAUAUUUGGUGGGUGUUACCGUUUUGGAGUGUUAGUGCAGUUUUGUGUUGAUCAGCAUUCUAUUUGCUUAACAAAAUCAGGACUUACUUGAAAAUGUAAUGAGUAUGGCCAAUUUGCAGUGUUCCAGAUUAAAUUUUGCAUUUUAUUGCAUUCCAUGUAUGAGACAAUUUUUUGAAUUCAAUUUUCUGUGAAUUUGUUUGUGGAUUUAAGUUUUCUGCACAAAAUAUUCUUAAUAUUUGAUGCUUUAUCGGAGUGUGUUUUGUUAGUUAAGAGGGAAUGUUUCGUUUACUGUGGCGAUGCCAUGAAAUAAUUUUGAAAUUAGUUUAUUUGUCUUGAGUUAAAAGAGUUUCAUUUAUAUGGUGUAACUGCUGCUUUGUCUGAUUAUUGUCUUCUCCUUUUUGUGUCUUUGGUGAGCCAAGCCUGCUCGGGUUCUCACUUUUGCAGCAUCAUGAUAGUUAUCUAAAUUAUCUAUGGUGGUGAUGUUGUUCUUGAGAAACUUACGCUAGUUCUGUUUUUGUGACAGCUUGUAUUUAUAGAAAAACAAAAAAUCUAAUCUAAAAAGAUUUUGCAGUGCCAAGUGUUAUUGUCCUUGUUAAGCCCAUUGAGAAACAGAUAAAUUCAGUAAUGAUUUGAAGAAAAUUUGCAAAAAUUUGGAAACUUUUAUAUUUCCAGCUGAUGAUUUCAUGCCUUCUAAGUUGGUUGUCAAACUUAGAUGGAUGACACUUCUUCUAAACCAAAUAGCAACACCCAAAGUGACCAAUACCCUUUGUUGAUGGAACGGAUGAAUAGCCACAAUGAUCAUGAGCACAUAAUUGACUUAACAAGAAAUGAUGAUGCUUCAUCAAGCUCAUCUCAUGAUGGUCGGCCUCCUGAAAUUGACUUACCUCAGCAUGAAGAUAGAUCAUCAGGUGGUGCAAGUGGCCCCACUCAUCAAAUUUCUUCAUCUUCCUUAAAUGAAUUAAACUCUAGAAGUUCAGCAUUUACAAGGAGAAGGGAUCGCUAUGACCAUCGGCGCAGGAGCCCAUUGAACUCUGCGCUCUGGAUUUCCAUUGAGCUAUUUGUCACUGUGGGUCAGAUUAUAGCCUCUAUUGUUGUUGUAUAGCUGUCGAGAGAUGAAAAUCCACAAGCCCCAUUAUUUGCAUGGGUUGUGGGUUAUGCAUCUGGUUGUGUUGCAAGACUUCCCAUUCUUUACUGGCGUUUUCGUAACUGCUACCAGAGUUCCCAACAAGAUUCUGUUCAGUCACAUCAAGGCUCUUCCCAAGACAGUCCUCCUGACUCAUCUUAUACAGUCAUUUCUGUUACUCAAGCUUCAGAUGAGGAGAACCUUUCUUCUACUGAAUCAACCACAAUUAAUGGUCAAGCUGCUAGACAAUUAGGUGCACGGCUCAAUGGAUUAAUGAACCAUUUCAAGAUGGCCUUGGAUUGCUUCUUUGCAGUGUGGUUUGUUGUGGGCAAUGUGUGGAUAUUUGGAGGUCAUUCUACUCCCAAUGAUGCUCCGAAAUUGUACAAGUAUGAUUUUCUGAUGUUUGCUCGUGUUCUAUUUUGAUUCCAUGUUCUUGCAAGUGUUUCUUGGCUUCCUUGCAGAUUAUGUAUAGUAUUCCUUACUUUUAGCUGUAUAGGAUAUGCCAUGCCAUUCAUACUAUGUGCAACAAUUUGUUGCUGCUUGCCUUGCAUAAUCUCUCUCCUUGGAAUUCGGGAGGAUUUUUCUCAAACUAGAGGAGCCACUGUAGAAUCUAUCAAUAGUUUGCCAACCUACAAGUUCAAGUUACAGAAAAGUGAGAAUGUCAAUGUUCAUGACAACUCAGGGACUGAUGAUGGUGGAGUCUUUGCUGCAGGGACUGAAAAGGAACGUGCAAUAUCAGGAGAAGAUGCGGUAAGUUGAAUGGUAGGCCUGCAGGUUCUCAUUUAUAAGACUUGCUAUAAUUGGUCCCCUUAUCCUUCAUGUUCAGAAUAUCAUUAAUUCCUUAUACUUUAUAAUUUUUUGAGGACCCAAGUUUGUCCUUAUGGAUUCUAAUUCAUAUUUUCCUAUAUUUUAUGAUCUACUGCAGUCUACUUUGGGUAGAAACUUUAUAAGAAGAAAAUGUACGAGUAAUAACUUCUAUUCUUUUCUGCCUCUGGUAUUCUUUAAAUUACAUUUGAUGCUGUGUUUAGUUUUUUUUUUUUAUUUGGUUUUGGAUAAAAAUGCUGUGUUUAGUUUUAGUUGUUCAGGUUUGAUACACGCAUAAUUAAUUAUCUUUUAAUUUCCAAGUAUCAAAAUUACUCAAAUAAUAUUUUGUCAUGAAGUUGUCAUUGUCUGUUUUUUUCUUUUUUUUAACUCUCCAUGGAUAGCCUUAAAUAUUUAGCAACUGCUUUUCACUGGAAAAAAAGGGUGGGGUGGACCCAGGCACGCAGGGAGAGUGCAUCAAACCAAAAUCAUCAUGAUUAUUAAGUUGAUGUUAGAUAACUUUCACAUGAUAGCCCAAAGUUCUUGGUGUCUGUAGAAAUUAGAAGAGAUGCAUAAAGCAUGUACAAUGGAGAGGAUGGUUCCUAUCAAUGUCAAGAUGAGUAAUUUUUCAUUUUUUUUUUUCUCUCUGCCUAGCUAUACAAGACACAUUUUAGCACAAGAUCUAGUUCAUUGUAAAAAUUCAAGGUAGUAAAUCUUCUCUUUUCUUUGAAAUGAAAAAAAAAUAAAGGAAAGAAAAAUUGAUAAAGGUUGCAGUAUCCCAUUUCAUUUUAUGGUCAGAUAGGCUGUCAUAUUUGUUCUAGGUGAGAGAAAUAAGCCUAAUACUUACUUGUGGGCAAUUACUUCAAAACUAAUAUGCUCAUUUCUCUUCCCCAAUCUGGUAUAGGUUUGCUGUAUUUGCUUGAAUAAGUAUGUCGAUGACGAUGAGCUGAGGGAACUCCCCUGCACCCAUUUCUUCCAUGUGGACUGUGUGGACAAGUGGUUGAAGAUCAAUGCAUCAUGUCCCCUCUGUAAAAGCGAACUUGGUGAGAGUAGUGGUGCUCCGCCAUUAGCCAGAGACUCCAGCCAACACUAGAGCAAGUUAGAAUGAUAGGUAAUGGAUUGAUCAGCCAUUGGAUUUUGCAUGUCUGGGGUAGAUACCUCAAAUGCACUCGUUUUCAACAAACUAAAUUUUGUUUCACAGAGAUGGAAAGGGCAACAGCAGGUUUUUUUGGUCCUAGCAUUGGCUUUUAAGUCUAUUUAAUUGUUUGUAAUUGCGCUAUACAGGACAAGCUUCCCACCUGAAAUAGUCCGCCCUUCUGUGAAAAUAAAAAAAGUAAUCUUCUUUGGUGUUGCUAUUAUCUGAAUCCUUCAUUUGCUUGAUUUGAAUGGUGAAAUCAACAUCCGUAUGGGUGCCCACUAUUGUAAAUUGUAGGAUGAUAAUUCAGUGAUCAAGUUUUUAUCUUAUAUUUAAUCAUAAAAUGGAAAGAUGCAAUUAUUG